GACGAACGAUGGCGGCGUGCCUAAUACAUGCAAGUCGAGCGAACGGACGAGAAGCUUGCUUUUCUGAUGUUAGCGGCGGACGGGUGAGUAACACGUGGAUAACCUACCUAUAAGACUGGGAUAACUUCGGGAAACCGGAUCUAAUACCGGAUAAUAUUUUGAACCGCAUGGUUCAAAAGUGAAAGACGGUCUUGCUGUCACUUAUAGAUGGAUCCGCGCUGCAUGAGCUAGUUGGUAAGGUAACGGCUUACCAAGGCAACGAUGCAUAGGCGACCUGAGAGAGUGAUCGGCCACACUAGAACUGAGACACGGUCCAGACUCCUACGGGAGGCAGCAGUAGGGAAUCUUCCGCAAUGGGCGAAAGCCUGACGGAGCAACGCCGCGUGAGUGAUGAAGGUCUUCGGAUCGUAAAACUCUGUUAUUAGGGAAGAACAUAUGUGUAAGUAACUGUGCACAUCUUGACGGUACCUAAUCAGAAAGCCACGGCUAACUACGUG
rnacentral:rRNA from 1 species